CCUGCACUCCUACUGCAGUUUGCCCAGAUCGUGAAGUUGACCUGCUCCCUCAAAGAAAAAAGCCCUCACUUUAAUUACCUCCUUCCAUCUUCUUCUUACUCUCGUUGUUCUUCUCGCUUGCCGCUUCUUCUGCUGCUUCUCUUCACUGAACGCACCGCCACCUACGCCGCCUCCAUCAACCACCGUACCUCUGUAAUUCUGUAUUGCUCUUCUCUUCUAUUCUCUUGGUUGCAGACUUUGGACUAGCAGAGUUUUCUUUAGAUACAGGUACUCAUUUGUCAACUCGAGUUAUGGGAAGUUUUGGUAAGACUAGUACUUAAACCGUGGUUAAUUUGUUGGUAAGUAAGUACAUCAGUAGCUACCAAUUUUAUUUAGGUAAUUUUCAGUUACCUAGCUCCAGAGUAUGCUGCAUGUGGGAAACUUACUGAAAAAUCAAAUGUCUUUUCCUUUUGGGGUUGUGCUUCUACAACUGAUUAAAGGACGCAAACCUGUUGAUAGAGCUCGCCCUUCAUGGAAUAUAGCAUUGUAGAAUAGGCUAGCCCUUCGCUAACACAGGCUCUAGAAGGUGGAAGAUUUAGUGAUAUUGUUGAUCCAAGAUUAAAAGACUAUAAUCUCUUUGAGAUGGCUCAAGUGAUUUCUUGUGCAGCUGCAAGUGUUCUCGUCUUUGCAAGGCAACUGCCUCAAAUGACUCAGGUAGUACAAGCUCUUCCAGGGAACUUAUCAGCUAAGGAUCCUGUUGUUCUGUAUGAUAUGACCAGCUGCUUAAUCAAGCAAAACAUUUUUGUAUGAAGAGGAACAACACAUAUUAAUUGGGAAUCAAAGUUGAAAAUUAGUGCGCGCCAAUGUAAGAUCAGACUAAUGUGUUUGAUCAGUACUCAUUAGUCUCGGUGAACAUUAAACUAGUCCCGCUAAUGCAAAUUAUGGGAACGAUACUCAUUAGUCUUGAUCAAGUUAUGCGAACUUAUAGUUACUUGGCUCCAGAGUAUGCUGCAAGCGGGAAACCUACUGAAACAUCAGAUGUCAUUUCCUUUGGGGUUGUGCUUCUGCAAUUGAUUACAGGAAGUAGACCUGUUGAUAGAGCUCGCCCCUUCGUGGAUGAUAGAAUUGUAGAAUGGGCCAGACCUUUGCUAACACAAGCUCUAGAAGCUGGAAGAUUCAGUGAUAUUGUCGACCAAGAUUAGAAGACUAUAAUCUCUUUGAUGGCUCAAAUGAUUGCUUGUGCAGCUGUAUGUGUUUGCGUCUCUGCAAGGAAACAACCUCAAAUGAGUCAGGCACUGUGAUGUACUAGGCUUAGGCACAAAUUUGCCUCAAGAGUAGAUAAUGUCAGAAAAUAAAGUUUUGAUCAAAUUUUAUGUCAUCCAACAGGUGAUUUAUGACUUCAUUUAAAUUUUAGAAUUUUGUAUUUAUGUACGGAGAAGAUUAUAGGAUGAAACAUUAAGUACCUUUUAACGUUAACUUUUUUGUAAUAUAUUUUUGCGAUUAAUGAAAGAUUUGGAUUUUUUUUAUUAUAA